rnacentral:lncRNA from 1 species
UUAAGCUGUGCACCUUGACCAGUUGGUUGUGGCUCUAUGUGUCAAGACCUCCCGCUGCAGUUGUAAGGUUCUGUGACCUGAUCAAGGGUUAAAGAGGAUUCCAUAACCCACACUAUAAUAGAAGAUCUGGCAUCCUAGCAAAUGAGGCCUGGUGGGCCUGCAAGAAUUGUAGCCUCUCUGGGGGCCCACUCUUGACUCCAUCCUUACCUACAUGACCCUGGACCAAUCCUGGAGUCUCCACAGCCUCAUUAUCACUCUCAGCCUUGGUUUUGAUAUCGAGAAAUCAUGGGAAGCAAAGGAGACAACCUCAUGGCGUGAUUUCGAGGCUAAACCGAUCCAAAUCUAGGCCUUCGCAUGUUUUUGGACAAAGUUCUUUGUGAAGGUUAUUUUCGUCAUGAGAGUGAUUAAUGUCAUGUGUUGGCCACGGAGAGACUAGUGUACCCCUGUGGGAAGAACUUGGCAGAGAAGUGGAGCAGAGCCCGAGUUAAUUUUAGAAAUCUUCAGUGUUGCAGGGGGCGACAAGGGAAACUCAGUUCUGCCAAGGAUGAACUAACUACCUGAGAACAUUAAGCCCCCAAAGGACAGCUUUUGCAUCUGGUCUCUCUCCUUCCCUGCUCCUUGUUCAUCAAGGAACAGGAAACCUGCCU